rnacentral:rRNA from 1 species
AUUACUCCUACGGGAGGCAGCAGUGGGGAAUUUUGGACAUUGGGCGAAAGCCUGAUCCAGCCAUGCCGCGUGAGUGAAGAAGGCCUUUGGGUUGUAAAGCUCUUUUAGUCGGAAAGAAAGAGUUGCAAUGAAUAAUUGUGAUUUAUGACGGUACCGACAGAAAAAGCACCGGCUAACUACGUGCCAGCGCCGCGGUAAUAAU